ACUCACGUGGCGUAGUGGUUUGAGUGUUGGACUGUGACACUGGAGACCUGGGUUUGAUUCCCAGCUCAGCC
rnacentral:tRNA from 1 species